rnacentral:rRNA from 1 species
AUUGAACGCUGGCGGCAUGCCUUACACAUGCAAGUCGAACGGUAACGCGGGGCAACCUGGCGACGAGUGGCGAACGGGUGAGUAAUAUAUCGGAACGUGCCCAGUAGUGGGGGAUAGCCCGGCGAAAGCCGGAUUAAUACCGCAUACGACCUAAGGGUGAAAGCGGGGGAUCGCAAGACCUCGCGCUAUUGGAGCGGCCGAUAUCAGAUUAGGUAGUUGGUGGGGUAAAGGCCUACCAAGCCGACGAUCUGUAGCUGGUCUGAGAGGACGACCAGCCACACUGGGACUGAGACACGGCCCAGACUCCUACGGGAGGCAGCAGUGGGGAAUUUUGGACAAUGGGCGCAAGCCUGAUCCAGCCAUGCCGCGUGCGGGAAGAAGGCCUUC